rnacentral:rRNA from 1 species
CCUACGGAGUGCUGCAGUGGGGAAUAUUGCACAAUGGAGGAAACCCUGAUGCAGCGACGCCGCGUGAGGGAAGAAGUAUUUCGGUACGUAAAGCUCUAUCAGCAGGGAAGAAAAUGACGGUACCUGACUAAGAAACCCCGGCUAACUACGUGCCAGCAGCCGCGGUAAUACGUAGGGGGCAAGCGUUAUCCGGAUUUACUGGGUGUAAAGGGAGCGUAGACGGCAGCGCAAGUCUGGAGUGAAAUCCCAUGGCUUAACCAUGGAAUUGCUUUUGAAACUGUGCAGCUAGAGUGCAGGAGAGGUAAGCGGAAUUCGUAGUGUAGCGGUGAAAUGCGUAGAUAUUAGGAGGAACCCCAGUGGCGAAGGCGGCUUACUGGACUGUAACUGACGUUGAGGCUCGAAAGCGUGGGGAGCAAACAGGAUUAGAUACCCCAGUAGUC